rnacentral:lncRNA from 1 species
UUUUUGGCUUUUUGCCUAAGUGUUGGCGAGUUUUGCAAACUGGACGAUAACUCGGAUUCUGUAUGUCGGAAUCAAGUCCCGUAAGUUCUAACACGUGUCUAAGACCUACGAGGUGCUACGUGUGUGUUUGCGUGGCAUUCGAACGGCUGAUGCGGGUUUUGGGUGUUUUUUUGCCUUUUUGCGUAAAUGUUGGCUAGUUUUGCAAACUGGACGAUAACUCGGAUUCCGUAUGUCGGAAUCUAGUCC